AUUGCAGGCUGAAACUCGCCUGCAUGAAGUCGGAAUUGCUAGUAAUCGCAGAUCAGCAUGCUGCGGUGAAUACGUUCCCGGGCCUUGUACACACCGCCCGUCACACCAUGGGAGCCGGUAAUACCCGAAGUCAGUAGUCUAACCGCAAGGGGGACGCUGCCGAAGGUAGGAUUGGCGACUGGGGUGAAGUCGUAACAAGGUACC
rnacentral:rRNA from 1 species